rnacentral:rRNA from 1 species
CAAAUAACCCACUCCCGGCACGGGGAGGUAGUGACGAAAAAUACCGAUACGGGACUCAUCAGAGGCCCCGUAAUCGGAAUGAGUACACUUUAAAUCCUUUAACGAGUACCAAUUGGAGGGCAAGUAUGGUGCCAGCAGCCGCGGUAAUUCCAGCUCCAAUAGCGUAUAUUAAAGUUGUUGCGGUUAAAAAGCUCGUAGUUGGAUCUGUGUCUAACGGCGUCGGUUCACCGCUCGCGGUGUAACUGGCGCGCCGGUUGGACGUCCUGCCGGUGGCGGUCCGGGCUUUCGAGUUUGUGUAGGUUCUCCGAAGCAUCUCGAUAGUUCCGGCCGCCGAUUCAAUCCCGCCGCGGUGCUCUUAACUGAGUGUCGAGGUGGGCCGGCACGUUUACUUUGAACAAAUUAGAGUGCUUAAAGCAGGCUGAUUUACGCCUGAAUACUGUGUGCAUGGAAUAAUGGAAUAGGACUUCGGUUCUAUUUUGUUGGUUUUAAGAAUCCGAAGUAAUGAUUAAUAGGGACAGGCGGGGGCAUUCGUAUUGCGACGUUAGAGGUGAAAUUCUUGGAUCGUCGCAAGACGUACCUAAGCGAAAGCAUUUGCCAAGUAUGUCCUCGUUAAUCAAGAACGAAAGUUAGAGGUUCGAAGGCGAUCAGAUACCGCCCUAGUUCUAACCAUAAACGAUGCCAGCCAGCGAUCCGCCAAAGUUCCUCCGAUGACUUGGCGGGCAGCUUCCGGGAAACCAAAGCUUUUGGGUUCCGGGGGAAGUAUGGUUGCAAAGCUGAAACUUAAAGGAAUUGACGGAAGGGCACCACCAGGAGUGGAGCCUGCGGCUUAAUUUGACUCAACACGGGAAACCUCACCAGGCCCGGACACUGGAAGGAUUGACAGAUUGAUAGCUCUUUCUUGAUUCAGUGGGUGGUGGUGCAUGGCCGUUCUUAGUUGGUGGAGCGAUUUGUCUGGUUAAUUCCGAUAACGAACGAGACUCUAGCCUAUUAACUAGGCGUUCCCGGUAUCCACAAUAGUGCUACCGGCGAAUAAAUUUCUUCUUAAAGGGACAGGCGGCUUCUAGCCGCACGAGACUGAGCAAUAACAGGUCUGUGAUGCCCUUAGAUGUCCUGGGCCGCACGCGCGCUACACUGAAGGAAUCAGCGUGUCUUCCCUGGCCGAAAGGUCCGGGUAACCCGUUGAACCUCCUUCGUGCUAGGGAUUGGGGCUUGCAAUUGUUCCCCAUGAACGAGGAAUUCCCAGUAAGCGCGAGUCAUAAGCUCGCGUUGAUUACGUCCCUGCCCUUUGUACACACCGCCCGUCGCUACUACCGAUUGAAUGAUUUAGUGAGGUCUUCGGACUGGUGCGCGGUGCCCGCCUCGUGUGGUCGCCGAUGUUGCCGGGAAGAUGACCAAACUUGAUCAUUUAGAGGAAGUAAAAGUCGUAAC